CCUACGGGGGGCAGCAGGCGCGAAACCUCUGCAAUAGGCGAAAGCUUGACAGGGUUACUCUGAGUGAUUUCCGUUAAGGAGAUCUUUUGGCACCUCUAAAAAUGGUGCAGAAUAAGGGGUGGGCAAGUCUGGUGUCAGCCGCCGCGGUAAUACCAGCACCCCGAGUGGUCGGGACGUUUAUUGGGCCUAAAGCAUCCGUAGCCGGUUCUACAAGUCUUCCGUUAAAUCCACCUGCUUAACAGAUGGGCUGCGGAAGAUACUAUAGAGCUAGGAGGCGGGAGAGGCAAGCGGUACUCGAUGGGUAGGGGUAAAAUCCGUUGAUCCAUUGAAGACCACCAGUGGCGAAGGCGGCUUGCCAGAACGCGCUCGACGGUGAGGGAUGAAAGCUGGGGGAGCAAACCGGAUUAGAUACCCCCGUAGUCC
rnacentral:rRNA from 2 species